GGUUAAGCGACUAAGCGUACACGGUGGAUGCCCUGGCAGUCAGAGGCGAUGAAGGACGUGCUAAUCUGCGAAAAGCGUCGGUAAGGUGAUAUGAACCGUUAUAACCGGCGAUGUCCGAAUGGGGAAACCCAGUGCAAUUCGUUGCACUAUCGUUAACUGAAUACAUAGGUUAACGAGGCGAACCGGGGGAACUGAAACAUCUAAGUACCCCGAGGAAAAGAAAUCAACCGAGAUUCCCCCAGUAGCGGCGAGCGAACGGGGAGCAGCCCAGAGUCUGAAUCAGCUUGUGUGUUAGUGGAACGGUCUGGAAAGUCCGACGGUACAGGGUGAUAGUCCCGUACACCAAAAUGCACAGGCUGUGAACUCGAAGAGUAGGGCGGGACACGUGGUAUCCUGUCUGAAUAUGGGGGGACCAUCCUCCAAGGCUAAAUACUCCUGACUGACCGAUAGUGAACCAGUACCGUGAGGGAAAGGCGAAAAGAACCCCGGCGAGGGGAGUGAAAAAGAACCUGAAACCGUGUACGUACAAGCAGUGGGAGCACCUUCGGGUGUGACUGCGUACCUUUUGUAUAAUGGGUCAGCGACUUAUAUUCUGUAGCAAGGUUAACCGUAUAGGGGAGCCGCAGGGAAACCGAGUCUUAACUGGGCGUUAAGUUGCAGGGUAUAGACCCGAAACCCGGUGAUCUAGCCAUGGGCAGGUUGAAGGUUGGGUAACACUAACUGGAGGACCGAACCGACUAAUGUUGAAAAAUUAGCGGAUGACUUGUGGCUGGGGGUGAAAGGCCAAUCAAACCGGGAGAUAGCUGGUUCUCCCCGAAAGCUAUUUAGGUAGCGCCUCGUGAAUUCAUCUUCGGGGGUAGAGCACUGUUUCGGCUAGGGGGUCAUCCCGACUUACCAACCCGAUGCAAACUACGAAUACCGAAGAAUGUUAUCACGGGAGACACACGGCGGGUGCUAACGUCCGUCGUGAAGAGGGAAACAACCCAGACCGCCAGCUAAGGUCCCAAAGUCAUGGUUAAGUGGGAAACGAUGUGGGAAGGCACAGACAGCCAGGAUGUUGGCUUAGAAGCAGCCAUCAUUUAAAGAAAGCGUAAUAGCUCACUGGUCGAGUCGGCCUGCGCGGAAGAUGUAACGGGGCUAAACCAUGCACCGAAGCUGCGGCAGCGACACUAUGUGUUGUUGGGUAGGGGAGCGUUCUGUAAGCCUGCGAAGGUGUGCUGUGAGGCAUGCUGGAGGUAUCAGAAGUGCGAAUGCUGACAUAAGUAACGAUAAAGCGGGUGAAAAGCCCGCUCGCCGGAAGACCAAGGGUUCCUGUCCAACGUUAAUCGGGGCAGGGUGAGUCGACCCCUAAGGCGAGGCCGAAAGGCGUAGUCGAUGGGAAACAGGUUAAUAUUCCUGUACUUGGUGUUACUGCGAAGGGGGACGGAGAAGGCUAUGUUAGCCGGGCGACGGUUGUCCCGGUUUAAGCAUGUAGGCUGAUUAUCCAGGCAAAUCCGGAUAAUCAAGGCUGAGGUGUGAUGACGAGGCACUACGGUGCUGAAGUAACAAAUGCCCUGCUUCCAGGAAAAGCCUCUAAGCAUCAGGUAACAUCAAAUCGUACCCCAAACCGACACAGGUGGUCAGGUAGAGAAUACCAAGGCGCUUGAGAGAACUCGGGUGAAGGAACUAGGCAAAAUGGUGCCGUAACUUCGGGAGAAGGCACGCUGGUGUGUAGGUGAAGCCCCUGCGGGUGGAGCUGAGACCAGUCGAAGAUACCAGCUGGCUGCAACUGUUUAUUAAAAACACAGCACUGUGCAAACACGAAAGUGGACGUAUACGGUGUGACGCCUGCCCGGUGCCGGAAGGUUAAUUGAUGGGGUUAUCCGUAAGGAGAAGCUCUUGAUCGAAGCCCCGGUAAACGGCGGCCGUAACUAUAACGGUCCUAAGGUAGCGAAAUUCCUUGUCGGGUAAGUUCCGACCUGCACGAAUGGCGUAAUGAUGGCCAGGCUGUCUCCACCCGAGACUCAGUGAAAUUGAACUCGCUGUGAAGAUGCAGUGUACCCGCGGCAAGACGGAAAGACCCCGUGAACCUUUACUAUAGCUUGACACUGAACAUUGAGCCUUGAUGUGUAGGAUAGGUGGGAGGCUUUGAAGCGUGGACGCCAGUCUGCGUGGAGCCAACCUUGAAAUACCACCCUUUAAUGUUUGAUGUUCUAACGUUGGCCCCUGACCGGGGUUGCGGACAGUGUCUGGUGGGUAGUUUGACUGGGGCGGUCUCCUCCCAAAGCGUAACGGAGGAGCACGAAGGUUAGCUAAUCCUGGUCGGACAUCAGGAGGUUAGUGCAAUGGCAUAAGCUAGCUUGACUGCGAGCGUGACGGCGCGAGCAGGUGCGAAAGCAGGUCAUAGUGAUCCGGUGGUUCUGAAUGGAAGGGCCAUCGCUCAACGGAUAAAAGGUACUCCGGGAUAACAGGCUGAUACCGCCCAAGAGUUCAUAUCGACGGCGGUGUUUGGCACCUCGAUGUCGGCUCAUCACAUCCUGGGGCUGAAGUAGGUCCCAAGGGUAUGGCUGUUCGCCAUUUAAAGUGGUACGCGAGCUGGGUUUAGAACGUCGUGAGACAGUUCGGUCCCUAUCUGCCGUGGGCGCUGGAGAAUUGAGGGGGGCUGCUCCUAGUACGAGAGGACCGGAGUGGACGCAUCACUGGUGUUCGGGUUGUCAUGCCAAUGGCACUGCCCGGUAGCUAAAUGCGGAAGAGAUAAGUGCUGAAAGCAUCUAAGCACGAAACUUGCCCCGAGAUGAGUUCUCCCUGAGACUUUAAGUCUCCUGAAGGAACGUUGAAGACGACGACGUUGAUAGGCCGGGUGUGUAAGCGCAGCGAUGCGUUGAGCUAACCGGUACUAAUGAACCGUGAGGCUUAACCUU
rnacentral:rRNA from 1 species